rnacentral:rRNA from 1 species
UGCCAGCCGCCGCGGUAAGACGAAGGUGGCAACCGUUGUUCGGAAUCACUGGGCAUAAAGAGCACGUAGGCGGGGAUGUAAGUCGGGUGUGAAAUCCCUCGGCCCAACCGAGGAACUGCGCCCGAAACUACAUCCCUUGAGGGCAGGAGGGGAACGUGGAAUUCCUGGUGGAGCGGUGAAAUGCGUUGAUAUCAGGAGGAACACCGGCGGCGAAGGCGACGUUCUGGCCUGCUUCUGACGCUGAGGUGCGAAAGCCAGGGGAGCAAACGGGAUUAGAUA